CCCUUAGAUGUUCUGGGCCGCACGCGCGCUACACUGACGAAUGCAACGAGCUUAUAACCUUGGCCGAAAGGUCUGGGUAAUCUCCAAAUUUCGUCGUGAUGGGGAUAGAUUAUUGCAAUUAUUAAUCUUCAACGAGGAAUGCCUAGUAAGCGCAAGUCAUCAGCUUGCGUUGAUUACGUCCCUGCCCUUUGUACACACCGCCCGUCGCUCCUACCGAUUGAAUGGUCCGGUGAAGCGCUCGGACCGCGGUCUCUUGACGGUUCGCUGUCGAUUGGCUGUGGGAAGUUCGUUAAACCUUAUCAUUUAGAGGAAGGAGAAGUCGUAACA
rnacentral:rRNA from 1 species